GAUGAACGCUGGCGGCGUGCUUAACACAUGCAAGUCGAACGAUGAAGCCCAGCUUGCUGGGUGGAUUAGUGGCGAACGGGUGAGUAACACGUGAGUAACCUGCCCUUAACUCUGGGAUAAGCCUGGGAAACUGGGUCUAAUACCGGAUAGGAGCGUCCACCGCAUGGUGGGUGUUGGAAAGAUUUAUCGGUUUUGGAUGGACUCGCGGCCUAUCAGCUUGUUGGUGAGGUAAUGGCUCACCAAGGCGACGACGGGUAGCCGGCCUGAGAGGGUGACCGGCCACACUGGGACUGAGACACGGCCCAGACUCCUACGGGAGGCAGCAGUGGGGAAUAUUGCACAAUGGGCGAAAGCCUGAUGCAGCGACGCCGCGUGAGGGAUGACGGCCUUCGGGUUGUAAACCUCUUUCAGUAGGGAAGAAGCGAAAGUGACGGUACCUGCAGAAGAAGCACCGGCUAACUACGGG
rnacentral:rRNA from 1 species